rnacentral:rRNA from 1 species
GAUGAACGCUGGCGGCGUGCCUAAUACAUGCAAGUCGAGCGAACGGACGAGAAGCUUGCUUCUCUGAUUUUAGCGGCGGACGGGUGAGUCACACGUGGAUAGCCUACCUAUAAGACUGGACUAACUUCGGCAAACCGGAGCUAAUACCGGAUAAUAUUUUGAACCGCAUGGUUCAAAAGUGAAAGACGGUCUUUCUUUCACUUAUAGAUGGAUACGCGCUGCAUUAGCUAGUUGGUAAGGUAACGGCUUACCAAGGCAACGAUGCAUAGCCGACCUGAACGGGUGAUCGGCCACACUGGAACUGAGACACGGUCCAGACUCCUACGGGAGGCAGCAGUAGGGAAUCUUCCGCGAUGGGCGAGAGGCUGACGUAGCAACGCCGCGUGAGUGAUGAAGGUCUUCGGAUCGUAAAACUCUGUUAUUAGGGAAGAACAUAUGUGUAAGUAACUGUGAACAUCUUGACGGUACCUAAUCAGAAAGCCACGGCUAACUACGUG